rnacentral:rRNA from 1 species
UUGGCAGUAAGCCAGGUGGAAUUCAAUAAAUUCUUCUUAGUCAAUGCAUUUUCCAUUGGUGUGCGUCGGAACUGAUUUAAUCACUGGUGUUCUUGGUCGAAGGGAACUGUUCUGCAGAACUUUGUGGCUUUGACUGGUCAGUCGUUGGAUCAGUGACCACCCAGCCUACUGGGACUGAGCUGGCUGAGAUUGUGGUUGCUUUUUGCGGAUGAGAAUACUCGUCCUGUGGUUGGCUUCUGCAUUUGACGCUGGUGUGUGCCUGUUGGGUGUCCUGACGUUAAUGUCGACCACCCUCCCGACCCGUCUUGAAACACGGACCAAGGAGUCUAACAUGUGCGCGAGUCAUUGGGUGUAAAGCUCAUAGGCGCAAUGAAAGUGAAGGUCGGCUUGUCCGGCUGAUACACGAUCCGGCGACUUGUUGUCGGUGCAGUGUAGCCCCAUCCUGAUUGCUCGUCAAUGGGGUGGAGGCUGAGCGUAUUUGUUGGGACCCGAAAGAUGGUGAACUAUGCCUGAACAGGAUGAGGCCAGAGGAAACUCUGGUGGAAGUCCGAAACGGUUCUGACGUGCAAAUCGAUCGUCAGAUUUGGGUAUAGGGGCGAAAGUACUAAUCG